ACUCCUACGGGAGGCAGCAGUAGGGAAUCUUCGGCAAUGGGGGGAACCCUGACCGAGCAACGCCGCGUGAGUGAAGAAGGUUUUCGGAUCGUAAAGCUCUGUUGUAAGAGAAGAACGGGUAUGAGAGUGGAAAAUUCAUACUGUGACGGUAUCUUACCAGAAAGGGACGGCUAACUACGUGCCAGCAGCCGCGGUAAU
rnacentral:rRNA from 1 species